GCCGGUGGAUUUUUAGCCCUGGUGGGUAGCUUCCCGGAAACGAAAGUCUUCCGGUUCCGGGGGAAGUAUGGUUGCAAAGCUGAAACUUAAAGGAAUUGACGGAAGGGCACCACCAGGAGUGGAGCCUGCGGCUUAAUUUGACUCAACACGGGGAAACUCACCCGGCCCGGACACCGUAAGGAUUGACAGAUUGAUAGCUCUUUCAUGAUUCGGUGGUUGGUGGUGCAUGGCCGUUCUUAGUUCGUGGAUCGAUUUGUCUGGUUUAUUCCGAUAACGAGCGAGACUCUAGCCUACUAAAUAGUAACGAGAUUAUCAAUGUCUCAGUUGCUUCUUAGAGGGAUUUUCGGUGUUUAGCCGCACGAGAUUGAGCAAUAACAGGUCUGUGAUGCCCUUAGAUGUCCGGGGCUGCACGCGCGCUACACUGGCGAAAUCAGCGUGCUGUAUCCAUUCUCGAAAGGGAUUGGUAAACCCAUGAAAAUUUGCCGUGCUUGGGAUCGGAAAUUGCAAUUAUUUUCCGUGAACGAGGAAUUCCAAGUAAGUGCGAGUCAUCAACUCGCUCUGAUUUACGUCC
rnacentral:rRNA from 1 species